AGCCUCUUGGUGUUUAUCAUAGUUUACGUUCUUUCAGUGAUUGUAUAGAAAAAGGAAAAAUAAACAUACUCCAUAUAUACUGCAGUCUGGGCCCUGUGCCUGCUCUGUAUUGUGAAUAGAGAGGCCUGU
rnacentral:snoRNA from 1 species